CUGGGAUCGCCUGCUGAGCAUGCAGCAGGAGACCUGGGCCUCCACCCCAUCCCAGACGAGCUCCCCACACCCUGAAGGCUGGGGGCAUCCCAAAGGCAGCCCCACCCUCUGUGCUGGGGCCAGGGAGAGGGGCAGUGGGAGAAUGCACAGAAGGAAGCAUCAAGAACAGGUGCCAACAUGACCACAGGUGAAAGGCAGCAUCAAAGGUGAGCAGGAGAGGUGGCCGCAGUGAAGGUGCUGGCAUCUCCCCAAGCCCAGGCCACAGGGCAUCAGGCCAUGACUCAGGAGCACCGGACGAGGAUGGUUUGUAAGACCACAUGCCCCACCAAAGACAGAAAAGAGCAGUAAGAGGCCAGAAUUGUGCUGGGCUGAGUGGGUCACAUCCACCUACUGGCUCCACUGUCACAUCACCCAACUGUCCUUUCUUGGUAAGACAGAGUAGAAUAGGAUAAAUAUGUUACAAACCCACACUCAGUAACGCACAUCAAUGUUUCAUAUGUUCUCAUAGUUGAGAAACCUGGCUAGACUGCAAAUUUUUUAAAGGUAGAAUCAUGUCAUAUGCUUCCUCCAUAUACCCACAAUGGUGAGCACAGAACUGGGAUCAGAAGUUUUCAGUAACACCUGUUGGGUCAUAUUCUUUUGGACCCAGUGAGAAACGUGGCAUGAAAUGGAUUUAAUAGCCCAUUACCCCACCUCCCCCUGACAUACACCUUUUUUUUAAAAUAUAAAGUGCUUCCAAUGGUAUGACUUCAUUUCUUUUCCUAAAAUAUCUAUACAGUAAGGAGACAGGUAUCAUUCACCCCAUUUUACAGAUCAGGUCAUUGAGGCCUACCACAUUUGAUUGACUUGCCUCUGAUGGUGUAGACUCAACACAAAACCCAGGUCCACUAGCUUCCCAUUUGAACUAUCUUCCACGGCUGUGUGCUCCUUGCCCCCUCCUGGUCCCCACCACCCAGGACCGAUGCUGCUGUUCUAAAAUUUUGAGAAGGAGGAAUUUGAAGAAAAGUCCUUGGGCAAAGAGGAAUUCUGUCUUCCCAAGAGAUCUCCCCCCCUGGUUAAACCCAUAAGCUACAGCCGGACCUGUGCUGGGCUUGGCAACCCUGAGACCACACUAAAUUUUAGUCUGCGUCUUUUGUUUCUACUAAUGGGAAUUUUGAAUGUCCCCUGAAUCUAUAGUUAUCCAUAGCAGCCAAAUCAAGAAUGGAGGGCUGAGAUUAAAUGUAGGAAAGGAAUGCUCACUCCUUUGUUAUCAAUACCUAAAAUAAUAUUGUAUAUUAGGCAAUAUGUGCCAGGCAUUUUUUUUUUCACAGUAAUGUUAGGAGGUGGAUGUUCUUGUCAUUAGCAUUUUUCAUGGGAAAAAAAUGAGGUUCAGAAAGGUUAAGUAACCGCUCAAGGUCACAGCUGGUCAACGGCAGAGGCGGGAAUCACACCCUGGUCACCAGUCUCUAGUCUUGAUCCUGAUGCUGCCCUGCGAGGCCCUUUGUAUGCGUGUUUGAGUAUGUUGGGGUACAGGAGCAAAGUCAUUCAAGGUACUUUCUCUUACAAAGCUUACAAUCUGUGUUCUCACUAGACGUGUACUCUGUGCUUUGACAGGAUGUGAGGCUGGUGCCAAUAGGUCAGUAAAAUGAGGCGGAGUCGGGGUAACUUGGCUUUAUCGGAUGGGUAAUGCACCUGGAAAUCCAUGAAGAAACGAGGGGGGCCCGGAUAACAAACUUGGGGAAAGAAAUGCCCCAACUGAGCUGACCUGUGGAAAGAGGGCUGGGAAGGGCUGGGGGUUCAGAAACCUAGAACCCCCAGAACUGCUCCAGAAAGCCAAGGCCGGGCUCUGCGGCCAGCCGGGCUGCGCGGGGGCCCGAGAGCUGGGGGCGGCAGCUUUAGGGACCCGAGGCCCUCCGGCCGCGGGCGGCGGGCGGGAGGGGCUCCGGCCCAGCAGCCGGCGCCUCGGCCCCUCCCUCGGCCCUCACCGCCGACCUGCAGGGCCUCCGCGCUCCGGAACCACCUAGGGCCCGGCCCCGCCGCCCUGGUUUAAUUCUCUGCCAAACCGCGAGGGUCAGGGUGGGCUUUGAUUGGCCCGCUCUGCCCCCCCGCCCAGCCAAUCAGCGCCUUGUUGCCAGGGUGGGGCUCCCCAGGGGUGGGCGGAGGGCGCAUCGCCGGAAAGCCGAUUUGCCAGCGCCUUUGGUUAGGUUU